rnacentral:rRNA from 1 species
GACGAACGCUGGCGGCGUGCUUAACACAUGCAAGUCGAACGAAGAGCGAUGGAAGCUUGCUUCUCUCAAUCUUAGUGUCGAACGGGUGAGUAACGCGUAAUCAACCUGCCCUUCAGAGGGGGACAACAGUUGGAAACGACUGCUAAUACCGCAUACGAUCUGACCUCGGCAUCGAGGAUAGAUGAAAGGUGGCCUCUAUUUAUAAGCUAUCACUGAAGGAGGGGAUUGCGUCUGAUUAGCUAGUUGGAGGGGUAACGGCCCACCAAGGCGAUGAUCAGUAGCCGGUCUGAGAGGAUGAACGGCCACAUUGGGACUGAGACACGGCCCAGACUCCUACGGGAGGCAGCAGUGGGGAAUCUUCCGCAAUGGACGAAAGUCUGACGGAGCAACGCCGCGUGAGUGAUGACGGCCUUCGGGUUGUAAAGCUCUGUUAAUCGGGACGAAAGGCCUUCUUGCGAAUAGUUAGAAGGAUUGACGGUACCGGAAUAGAAAGCCACGGCUAACUACGUG